UACGGGGGGUGCGAGCGUUGUCCGGAAUCACUGGGCGUAAAGGGCGCGUAGGUGGUUUGAUAAGGGUGUGGUGAAAGUCCGGAGCUCAACUCCGGAUCUGCCGUGCCGACUGUCAAACUCGAGGGCUGUAGAGGCAGACGGAAUUCCGGGUGUAGCGGUGGAAUGCGUAGAUAUCUGGAGGAACACCGGUGGCGAAGGCGGCAUUCUGGACCGAUAUUGACGCUGAGGCGCGAAAGCGUGGGGAGCAAACAGG
rnacentral:rRNA from 1 species